rnacentral:rRNA from 1 species
GAUGAACGCUAGCGGCAGGCUUAAUACAUGCAAGUCGAGGGGCAGCAGUUUUGUAGCAAUACAGAAGCUGGCGACCGGCAAACGGGUGCGGAACACGUACGCAACCUUCCUUUAACUGGGAGAUAGCCCACCGAAAGGUGGAUUAAUAUCCCAUAAUAUAACUGAAUGGCAUCAUUUAGCUAUUAAAGCUCCGGCGGUUAAAGAUGGGCGUGCGUCUGAUUAGGUAGUUGGCGGGGUAACGGCCCACCAAGCCUUCGAUCAGUAGCUGAUGUGAGGGCAUGAUCAGCCACACGGGCACGGGGAAACGGGCCCGACUCCUACGGGAGGCAGCAGUAAGGAAUAUUGGUCAAUGGACGCAAGUCUGAACCAGCCAUGCCGCGUGGAGGAUGAAGGCCCUCUGGGUUGUAAACUUCUUUUCUUUGGGACGAAACCCCUGUUUCUACGGGGACUGACGGUACCAGAGGAAUAAGCACCGGCUAACUCCGUGCCAGCAGCCGCCGUAACAC